rnacentral:misc_RNA from 1 species
UCCGGUUUGUCACCGGCGGUCUCCUUAGAGUUCCCACCCUUGCGGGCGUGGCUCCCCUUUCAGGGAGUUAAUCCGUGCAUGUCAAGCCCAGGAUAAGGUUCUUCGCGUUGCUUCGAAUUAAGCCACAUGCUCCACCGCUUGUGUGAGCCCCCGUCAAUUCCUUUGAGUUUUAGCCUUGCGACCGUACUCCCCAGGCGGCACACUUAUCGUUUUUACUUCGACACCGGGGGCGUCAGAGCCUCCAGUAUCUAGUGUGCAUCGUUUACGGCGUGGACUAC